CCUACGGGUGGCAGCAGUGAGGAAUAUUGGUCAAUGGGCGGAAGCCUGAACCAGCCAAGUAGCGUGAAGGAUGACGGCCCUACGGGUUGUAAACUGCUUUUAUACGGGAAUAACGCGCCUUACGUGUAGUGCGUUGCAUGUACCGUAUGAAAAAGGACCGGCUAAUUCCGUGCCAGCAGCCGCGGUAAUACGGAAGGUCCGGGCGUUAUCCGGAUUUAUUGGGUUGAAGGGGUGCGUAGGCCGCAUGUCAAGCGUACUGUGAAAUGUCCGGGGGCAACCCGGGCCGUGCAGCGCAAACUGGUGUGCUAGAGUGCGCGGAAAGCAGGCGGAAUGCGUGGUGUAGCGGUGAAAUGCUUAGAUAUGACGAAGAACCCCGAUUGCGAAGGCAGCUUACUGGAGCGGAACUGACGCUGAUGCUCGAAAGCGUGGGUAUCGAACAGGAUUAGAUACCCUUGUAGUC
rnacentral:rRNA from 1 species